rnacentral:rRNA from 1 species
UACGUAGGGUCCGAGCGUUGUCCGGAAUUAUUGGGCGUAAAGAGCUCGUAGGCGGUUUGUCGCGUCUGCUGUGAAAUCCCGAGGCUCAACCUCGGGCCUGCAGUGGGUACGGGCAGACUGGAGUGCGGUAGGGGAGAAUGGAAUUCCUGGUGUAGCGGUGGAAUGCGCAGAUAUCAGGAGGAACACCGAUGGCGAAGGCAGUUCUCUGGGCCGUAACUGACGCUGAGGAGCGAAAGCAUGGGGAGCGAACAGG